GGAAGUAAAAGUCGCAACAAGGUCUCCGUUGGUGAACCAGCGGAGGGAUCAUUACAGGAUCGAAAGACUCCUAUAACCCCUGUGAACUUACUACAAAUACGUUGCUUCGGCGGGUGCCCCGGGUCUCCCGGGGCGUUCAGCCCGCCGGCAGCCUUCAAAUUCUGUUUCUUUGCGUUGGCAUCUCGAGUAUACAAAAAUAAGUUAAAACUUUCAACAACGGAUCUCUUGGUUCUG
rnacentral:misc_RNA from 1 species